GAUGAACGCUGGCGGCGUGCCUAAUACAUGCAAGUCGAGCGAACGGACGAGAAGCUUGCUCCUCUGACGUUAGCGGCGGACGGGUGAGUAACACGUGGAUAACCUACCUAUAAGACUGGGAUAACUUCGGGAAACCGGAGCUAAUACCGGAUAAUAUUUUAAACCGCAUGGUUCAAUAGUGAAAGACGGUUUUGCUGUCACUUAUAGAUGGAUCCGCGCCGCAUUAGCUAGUUGGUAAGGUAACGGCUUACCAAGGCAACGAUGCAUAGCCGACCUGAGAGGGUGAUCGGCCACACUGGAACUGAGACACGGUCCAGACUCCUACGGGAGGCAGCAGUAGGGAAUCUUCCGCAAUGGGCGAAAGCCUGACGGAGCAACGCCGCGUGAGUGAUGAAGGUCCUCGGAUCGUAAAACUCUGUUAUUAGGGAAGAACAUAUGUGUAAGUAACUGUGCACGUCUUGACGGUACCUAAUCAGAAAGCCACGGCUAACUACGUG
rnacentral:rRNA from 1 species